rnacentral:rRNA from 1 species
UGGGAUAACGUUACGGGAAACCGGAGCUAAUACCGGAUAAUAUAUUUAACCGCAUGGUUCAAUAGUGAAAGACGGUUUUGCUGUCACUUAUAGAUGGAUCCGCGCUGCAUUAGCUAGUUGGUAAGGUAACGGCUUACCAAGGCAACGAUGCGUAGCCGACCUGAGAGGGUGAUCGGCCACACUGGAACUGAGACACGGUCCAGACUCCUACGGGAGGCAGCAGUC